CUCCUCCUCGCCGUCCUCGGAGCCCAAAUACGCGACACCUGGAGCAAUAGCAGCCGCCCGCGGCCUGGGCCUCAUUACGGCCGGCCCUUAUCGCGGCGUGCAUCACAUUAUUUCAUUUCAAAGAAUCCGCAGAGAAACCCGUCCCCGGCCGACAACAGAAAGUAAAAACACAGCUGACUCCCAUUAGGGCCCUCUCACGGGCUCCGCGUGAGGCGAUUCCCAGGUACCCACCUGGUGCCAAGGCGCUACGUGCUAAUGUCCCUGCGCAGAAAAGGCCGGCAAGCAGCAAAUUCCUUGUGAAUCCAGCAGGCAGAGAUUCCCAAGAUCUGAGGAGAGCAUGCCCUCAGGGCCCCCCAUCUCCCACUGGGCCUCCCCUUCUGUCAGGCCCCCUCUCCGGAUCUCAGAUGCCUGCUGCCCUCCUGCUACCUACCUCUCUCUACCAGGAGAGAGGUCAGACACUGAGGAAUACUGAUGCAGCGCUUACCUCAUGCCAGAUGAGGAAGCUGGACCACAGAGAAGCGAGCUGACUUGUCCAAGGUCAACAGCUAGUGAGUUGCAGUAACCCAGAAGGUUCGAUGCCUGACUCCACACCGUUGAUCACUGUACAAUCUGAACCUCACAGGGAGGAGGCAGGGACAGGGGGCAGCUAACAGGACACAACUGAGAGCACUCAGAUUUCUGCAGAAGCCUACGGAGCUGCUCUUUACACAUGGAUUUGAUCCUCCCAACACUGUUGUGAGGCAGGUUUGGGGGCCUCAUUUUACAGCUGAGGGAACUGAACCCCAGAGGAGAAAGGCCUCUGCAUCUCAGCAAGUUUCUCCAGCAAGUCCGUACAGAGCUGAGGUUAGAACCGAGGCCUGAGUACCGGUGGGCUUCCACCUACCUGACCACCCACCACCACCAAAGAGCGUUUUCAGAAGGCCAGAAGGACUCACGUGCCUAAAGGACAAAGCUCGGGCACUAACGCAUGAAUGAGAAGCAUGUUCUUUUUUUUUUUUUUUUUUUUUUUUACAUCAGACUUUCUAACAUCCCUAAAAUCUCCUCCUGCCCCCACUGAUCCUGUGUCCCCAAAAACAUCUCACUCAUUCAGCAAAGUUGAACCGAGCUCCUACUCUGCCCUGUGGGGUCCCGGGGCAACAAAUGUGACCUGCUCCUGCUCCCCAGCCUGGAAGAGCUCGCAACCAGGCAGGGAAAGCGAAUGCUGCACCAGUAAUAGGAGGGAAGGUAAAGCUUGCUGGAGAUGCCUGUUAACACAGAGAAUCAGGUCUGCCCAAAGGUCUCCGCGAACGUGAUGUUGGCGCAGAGCCUCACAGGGCCAGUAUGAGGAUUUAUCUCGGAGGCAGAAGCACCAAGAAACCCACCUAUGGAAUAUGGAGCUCCUUCAAGGACCUGCUAAUGCUUCUAGGGCCCACUGAGAAGGAUCCAUGUUACCUAGAGCUGAGUCCUAGAAGAGCACUGGAGAUUUUGUUAAAUUAUUGAAAUCAGUGGGAAGGCAGAGGACUCCGGCAUUCCUUAAUAAUUAUUUUUCUUUUAAAUCUUGCUCCCAAUAGAAUUUAUCCAAGUUAUUCAUACUGUCUUAAAACAGAAAGGUCCAGGGGCAGGUGGGUGGCUAAGUGGUUAAGGGUCUGCCUUUGGCUCAGAUCAUGAUCCCCGGGGUCCUGGGAUCAAGUCCUGUAUCAGGCUCCCUACAUGGAGCCUGCUUCUCCCUCUGCCUGUGUCUCUGCCUCUCUCAUGAAUAAAAAAAUAAUAAUAAUAAAAAGGUCUAGACCUCCAUUUUCAUCAGGUGACAUUACUCCUAUUUUAUAGAUGUUGCCCUAAAAACCUGACCUCAGACAGGAAAAAAAAAAUGAUCUUCAUUUAUUGAGAACUUAACAUGUGCCAGGUACUGUACUAAGCAAUUAUAUACAUUUCUCUCAUUUGGUCCUCAAAAAUAUUCUGUGAAAUAUUUUCCUAAAAUUUUCUAACUUCUUUCACAUUUCAUAUCUUUGGACAUGCUCUUGUGCCCUAUGAGUAUUCCUUGUUCUCUGCCCGUUGUACUCGUUAGUGUUCAGACUAAGAGGCUUCAGAUAAGAAAGCCAACAACACAGUGGUUCAAAGAGGGUAGCAGUUUAUGUCUCUCUCAGGUGAUGGUUUGGACACAGGCAUGUGAUCCAAGGUGAAUGGGAUAGCUAUGCUCCCCCAGGUCAUCCAGGGACCCAGGUUCCUUUUUUUAAUUUUAUUCGGUGACCUACUUCACAAAAAUCUUAAUUAUUUUUUAUUUAAAUUCUAUUAAUCAACAUGUAGUGUAUUACUAGUUUCAGAGGUAGAGUUCAGUGAUUCAUCAGUUGCACACGACGUCUUAAUGGAGUUAUAAUUGACAUAUAACAUUAGUUUCAGGUGUGCAACGUAAGGAUUCACCAUUUAUAUAUUGCAAAAUGAUCACUACAAUAAAUAUAGUUAACAUCCAUAGUUACAAAAAUUUUUUUCCUUGUGAUAAGAACUUUUAAGAUCGACUCUCUUAGCAACUUUCAAAUAUGCAAUAUGCUAUUAUUAACAAUAGCCACCAUGCUGUACCUUAUAUCACUGUGAUUCAUUUAUUUUAUAAUCAGAAGUUCGUACCUCCUAACUUAAGACAAAAAAGCUUUCAGCUUUUCACCACUGAAUAUCAUGUUAGCUAUGAGCUUCUCAUACAUGGCCUUUAUCAUGUUGAGAUGUUUCCUGUAUAUCCCCUUUGUUGAGAUUACUUAUCAUAAACGGAUGUUGAAUUUUGUCAGAUACUUUUUCUGCUCUGCUGAGAUGAUGAUAGGAUUUUUAUCACUCAUUUUGUUAACGUGGUGUGUCACAUUGAUUUGUGGAUGUUGAACCAUCCUUGCAUCUCUAGAAUAAAUCCCACCUGAGCAUAGUAUAUGAUCCUUUUAAUAUCUUGAAUUUGGUUUGCAAAUAUGUUGUUGAGCAUUUUUGCACCUACAUUCGUCAGGGAUAUUGGCCUAUAAUUUUCUUUCCUUGGGGGCAUCCUUCUGGUUUUGGUAUCAGGAUAAUACUGGACUUGUAAAAUGAGUUUAGAAGCAUUCCCUCCUUCAUAGUUUUUAGAAGAGUUUAAAAAUGACUGGUUCUUGGGAUGCCUGGGUGGCUCAGCAGUUAAGCAUCUGCCUUCAGCUCAGGUCGUGAUCCCGGGGUUCUGGGAUCGAGUCCCACAUUGGGCUCCCUGCGUGGAGCCUGCUUCUCCCUCUGCCUGUG